GAUUUGGUUUCCCUCCGCUCUACUGGCUCAAGACAGGGGCCUAUACCUGCCCGAACUGCCGGGUGAUUAUCUUCUGAUCACGAAUCCGUUUGCAAAGGGCAUGGAGUGAAGAGACAUGCUCGAUAUGUUUAGAUGUGGUGUGCAGACACCAGGAAGAUUUGGUUUCCCUUCACUGUACCCACAAAUUCCAUCGAGCGUGUCCCAAAAACUGGCUCAAGACAGGGGCCUAUACCUGCCCGAACUGCCGGGUGAUUAUCUUCUGAUCACGAAUCCGUUUGCAAAGGGCAUGGAGUGAAGAGACAUGCUCGAUAUGUUUAGAUGUGGUGUGCAGACACCAGGAAGAUUUGGUUUCCCUCCACUGUACCCACAACUUCCAUCGAGCGUGUCCCGAAAACUGGCUCAAGACAGGGGCCUAUACCUGCCCGAACUGCCGGGUGAUUAUCUUCUGAUCACGAAUCCGGUAGGAAUCUUAUCUAUACUUAUAAUAAAAUUAUAAUCGGAGGAAAUAUUAUUAUGGAAGAUGUACCGCGAUACUAUGAACUCGACCCACAC